rnacentral:rRNA from 1 species
UACGAAGGGGGCUAGCGUUGCUCGGAUUGACUGGGCGUAAAGGGCGCGUAGGCGGUUUGUACAGUCAGACGUGAAAUUCCUGGGCUCAACCUGGGGGCUGCGUUUGAUACGUGCAGACUUGAGUUCGGAAGAGGGUCGUGGAAUUCCCAGUGUAGAGGUGAAAUUCGUAGAUAUUGGGAAGAACACCGGUGGCGAAGGCGGCGAGCUGGUCCAUUACUGACGCUGAGGCGCGACAGCGUGGGGAGCAAACAGG